UCCCUAGUGGUCCAAUGGCUAAGAUGCUGUGCUCCUAAUGCUGGGGGCCUGGGUUCCAUCCCUGGUUGGGGAA
rnacentral:tRNA from 1 species